GGCAAAGGUAGAAGGUCUCAAUUGAGGUAACCUAGGCUACAAAGCUAAUUCCAGGACAACCAAAGCUACAGAGAGUGGCUUUGGGCAAGUGAGGGAGUAGCCAACACCUAUAAUCCCGCUGUGUCAGGAGUCUGACAAAGCUGUUGAGACUCUGUCACAAGAAUUCUUUGAGUCAAUAAAGCAAGGUCUGCCUCCCUGGUGGUAGCCUACCAUAGCCCUGCAAUUUAAGGUCAGCACAGACAACACGAGCCAACCCCCAACUUUUUAAAAAGAGUCUGAGAAUGUAUUGAAAUAUUCAUUAACUGACUGGUACCUGAUCUAUAUAGGAAGAACAUGGUAUUCAGUAAAGCUGUAUGUAUAGAAUGUUGUGUAUAUACCAUGAUGGUUCAUACUUGGUUUUACAUCAAAUUGUUUUGCAUUGUCUUUGAUAGAUUAGAAAGGGCAAAGAAAUUACAAGAACAACGAGAAAAGGAAAUGGUUGAAAAACAAAAACAACAAGAAAUGGCUGCAGCAGCUGCAGCCACUGGAGGUUCUGUUCUUAAUGUUGCUGCACUCUUGGCAUCGGGAACGCAAGUUACUCCUCAGAUAGCUAUGGCAGCUCAAAUGGCAGCCCUGCAAGCUAAGGCCUUGGCAGAGACUGGCAUAGCUGUGCCCAGCUACUAUAACCCAGCAGCUGUGAAUCCCAUGAAAUUUGCUGAGCAAGAGAAAAAGAGGAAAAUGCUCUGGCAAGGCAAGAAAGAAGGCGACAAAUCUCAGUCUGCUGAAAUAUGGGAAAAAUUGAAUUUUGGAAACAAGGACCAAAAUGUCAAAUUUAGGAAGUUAAUGGGCAUUAAGGUGAGUUAUGCUUUAUGGUUGAUCCUACCUUCUAUUUU
rnacentral:lncRNA from 1 species